UACGAAGGGGGCUAGCGUUGCUCGGAAUGACUGGGCGUAAAGGGCGCGUAGGCGGAUGGCACAGUCAGAUGUGAAAUUCCCGGGCUUAACCUGGGGGCUGCAUUUGAUACGUGUUGUCUAGAGUGAGGAAGAGGGUUGCGGAAUUCCCAGUGUAGAGGUGAAAUUCGUAGAUAUUGGGAAGAACACCGGUGGCGAAGGCGGCAACCUGGUCCUUGACUGACGCUGAGGCGCGAAAGCGUGGGGAGCAAACAGG
rnacentral:rRNA from 1 species